UUACCAGACUCCUACGGGAGGCAGCAGUGGGGAAUAUUGCACAAUGGGGGGAACCCUGAUGCAGCGACGCCGCGUGAGGGAAGAAGGUUUUCGGAUUGUAAACCUCUGUCCUCUGUGACGAUAAUGACGGUAGCAGAGGAGGAAGCCACGGCUAACUACGUGCCAGCAGCCGCGGUAAUACGUAGGUGGCGAGCGUUAUCCGGAUUUACUGGGUGUAAAGGGGGCGCAGACGGCGAUGCAAGCCAGGAGUGAAAGCCCGGGGCCCAACCCCGGGACUGCUCUUGGAACUGCGUGGCUGGAGUGCAGGAGGGGCAGGCGGAAUUCCUGGUGUAGCGGUGAAAUGCGUAGAUAUCAGGAGGAACACCGGUGGCGAAGGCGGCCUGCUGGACUGCAACUGACGUUGAGGCCCGAAAGCGUGGGGAGCAAACAGGAUUAGAUACCCUGGUAUA
rnacentral:rRNA from 1 species